rnacentral:rRNA from 1 species
UGGGGAAUAUUGCACAAUGGGGGAAACCCUGAUGCAGCGACGCCGCGUGAACGAAGAAGGUAUUCGUAUCGUAAAGUUCUGUCCUAUGGGAAGAUAAUGACAGUACCAUAGAAGAAAGCUCCGGCUAAAUACGUGCCAGCAGCCGCGGUAAUACGUAUGGAGCGAGCGUUGUCCGGAAUUAUUGGGCGUAAAGGGUACGCAGGCGGUUUAAUAAGUCGAAUGUUAAAGAUCGGGGCUCAACCCCGCAAAGCAUUGGAAACUGAUAAACUUGAGUAGUGGAGAGGAAAGUGGAAUUCCUAGUGUAGUGGUGUAAUACGUAGAUAUUAGGAGGAAUACCAGUAGCGAAGGCGACUUUCUGGACACAAACUGACGCUGAGGUACGAAAGCGUGGGGAGCAAACAGG